GUCGGUUGGCCGGAACCUGCUGGUCCCGGAUCCUGAACAGCCCCCCCAGCCCCCCUGGAUCGCGGGCUUCGGUCAACCGGCGCUUCUUUCUAUAGAGCACCCCAAUGCGAGCCCGCGCGGAUCCUCCCCCCACCCGCGCGGGCU
rnacentral:sRNA from 1 species